AAUUUUGAUCCGCCAAUAGGAAGGCGGUGUCAUUUUUCAUGGCCGACAUUUAUGUUGAGUUUUCGUCUUUCCAGCACCAAAAGCGCCUCCUAAUGAACCAUUCUUUCUCGACCUUCGAAAGUGAGGUGACCUCCAUGACCCCGCCACACAAGGAAGCCAUCUUGGAUUACCUGCACUCAGCGGCGUCGAAGUAGGCAGUGCGUCUGCUGAGUCAUUGUCAAGAUGGCCGACGGUCGCCGCCAGACUGGACUCCCCACCCGGACUCGGAGACUCAAAGACGUCCCCAAAGGUUCAAGUCCUGAUUUGGGAAAAGAACACUUGAUGCCAUCAAAGUGAACCAGAUUGAAUCCAGAUGUUUGCUUUUCGUUCUUUCCACGUUUUUAAUGAAGGCGCAGGCUAGAAGAGACUUUUUCAUCACGGCUUUUCCUCCCAGAUCUUAUUUUCAUUCCAGUGUCAAUGUCCAUGAAAAAAAAAACUGAAAAAAACCUAAUAUUUUCCCGAGAGGUGUUUUCUUUGUUUCAUGUCGACAAAGAACAAACUUGUAAUAAACUAAAAAGAAACGAGGAGGAAACUUAUGAGAGACUUAGAAAAAACUAGGACAAAACAUAGGAGAAACUUGGGGAAAAAAUGAAGAGGAAACUGAGAAGAUGCAAAGAAGGAACUAAGAGGAAACUUUAAAAAAAUGUAAAAGAAAUGUAAUAAAAGACUUGGAAUAUAAGAAGAAACGCAGAAUAAACUUUCGAGAAACUAUAAUAAACUAACAAGGAAACUUAGGAAAAAUAUAAGGAGACUUAGAAGAAAGUAAAAAGAAAUAAAAGAGACACUUAAAAGAAAAUGAGAAGAAAUAAAAAUAAACAUAGGAGAAACUUUCAAGAAACUAAGAAAAAACAUAUGAGAAAAUUAGAAGGAUCUAAGAAAAGACUUAAAAUAAACCAAUGAAAAACUAGGAAUAAACUUAAAAAAGAAACUGAGAUGAAACUAGGAAUAAACUUAAGAGACACAAGAAAAUUAGAAAAGACUAAAAAUAAACAUAGGAGAAACUUACAAGAAACUAAGAAAAACAUAUGAGAAAAUUAGAAGAAUCUAAGAAAAGACUUGAGAUAAACUAAGGAAAAACUUAGAAGAAACUAAAAAGAAACUGAGAUGAAACUAGGGAUUAACUUAAGAUACACUUACAUGAAAAUGAGAAGAAACUAAAAAUAAAAUUAGGAAAAACUUAGAAGAAACAAAAAAUAACCUAAUAAUUAACUACAAAAAUAUUUUAAAGAAACUAUGAAGACAUUUUAAAGAAACUUAGAAGAAACUAAAAAAAAACUGAGCUGAAACUAGGGAUAAACUUAAGAGACACAAGAAAAUGAAAAGAAACUAAAAUAAACUUGGGAUAAACUUAAAAGAAACAAAGAACAACCUAAUAAAUAACUACGAAAACUUUUUAAAGACACUAAGAAAACAUUUUAAAGUAACUUGGAAGAAACUAAAAAAGCUGAGAUGAAACUAGGAAUAAACUUAAGAGACACAAGAAAAUUAGAAGAAACUAAAAAUAAACAUAGGAGAAUUUUAUAAGAAACUAAGAAAAAACAUGAGAAAAUUAGAAGUAUUUAAGAAAAGACUUAAAAUAAACUAAGAAAAACUAGGAAGAAACUUAAAAAAGAAACUGAGAUGAAACUAGGGAUAAACUUAAGAGACACUUACAAGAAGAAUUAGAAUAAACUAAAAAUAAACAUAGGAGAAACUUACAAGAAACUAAGAAAAAACAUAUGAGAAAAUUAGAAGGAUCUAAGAAAAGACUUAAAAUAAACCAAUGAAAAACUAGGAAUAAACUUAAAAAAGAAACUGAGAUGAAACUAGGGAUAAACUUAAGAGACACUUACAAGAAGAAUUAGAAUAAACUAAAAAUAAACAUAGGAGAAACUUUCAAGAAACUAAGAAAAAACAUAUGAGAAAAUUAGAAGGAUCUAAGAAAAGACUUAAAAUAAACCAAUGAAAAACUAGGAAUAAACUUAAAAAAGAAACUGAGAUGAAACUAGGAAUAAACUUAAGAGACACAAGAAAAUUAGAAAAAACUAAAAAUAAAUAGGAGAAACUUACAAAAAAACUAAGUAAAAACAUAUGAGAAAAUUAGAAGAAUCUAAGAAAAGACUUGAGAUAAACUUAGAAGAAACUAAAAAGAAACUGAGAUGAAACUAGUGAUUAACUUAAGAUAUACUUACAUGAACAUUAGAAGAAACUAAAAAUAAAAUUAGGAAAAACUUAGAAGAAACAAAAAAUAACCUAAUAAUUAACUACAAAAACAUUUUAAAGAAACUAUGAAGACAUUUUAAAGAAACUUAGAAGAAACUAAAAAGAAACUGAGAUGAAACUAGGGAUAAACUUAAGAGACACUUACAAGAAAAUGAAAAGAAACUAAAAUAAACUUGGGAUAAACUUAAAAGAAACAAAGAACAACCUAAUAAAUAACUACAAAAACUUUUUAAAGACACUAAGAAAACAUUUUAAAGUAACUUGGAAGAAACUAAAAAAGCUGAGAUGAAACUAGGAAUAAACUUAAGAGACACAAGAAAAUUAGAAGAAACUAAAAAUAAACAUAGGAGAAUUUUAUAAGAAACUAAGAAAAAACAUGAGAAAAUUAGAAGUAUUUAAGAAAAGACUUAAAAUAAACUAAGAAAAACUAGGAAGAAACUUAAAAAAGAAACUGAGAUGAAACUAGGGAUAAACUUAAGAGACACUUACAAGAAGAAUUAGAAUAAACUAAAAAUAAACAUAGGAGAAACUUACAAGAAACUAAGAAAAAAACAUAUGAGAAAAUUUGAAAAUCCAAAAAAAGACUUAAGAUAAACUAAGGAAAAACUAGGAAGAAACUAAAAAGAAACCGAGAUGAAACAAGGGAAAAACUAAAGAGACACAAAAGAAAAUUAGAAUAAAAUAAAAAUAAACUUGGGAAAAACUUAGAAGAAACAAAGAACAACCAAAUAAAUAAGUAUGAAAAAAUGUUAAAGAAAUUAAGAAGACAUUUUUUAUAAACUUGGAAGAAACUAAAAAGAAACUGAGAGGAAACUAGGGAUAAACUUAAGAGACACUCACAAGAAAAUUAGAAGAAACUAAAAAUAAACAUAGGAGAAACUUACAAGAAACUAAGAAAAAAACAUAUGAGAAAAUUAGAAGGAUCUAAGAAAAGACUUAAGAUAAACUAAGGAAAAACUAGGAAGAAACUUAAAAAAGAAACUGAGAUGCAACUAGGAAUAAACUUAAGAGACACAAACAAGAAAAUUAGAAGACACUAAAAAUAAAAUUAGAAAAAACUUAGAAGAAACAAAGAACAACCUAAUAAGUAUGAAAACAUUUUAAAGAAAUGAAGAAUUUUUUUUUAAAGAAACUUGGAAGAAACUGAGAUGAAACUAGUGGUACACUUAAGAGACACUCACAAGAAAAUGAGAAAAAACUAAAAAUAAACUUGGGAAAAAUUUAGAAGAAACAAAAAACAACCUAAUAAACAACUAUGAAAACAUUUUAAAGACACUAAGAAGAAAUUUUAAAGAAACUUGGAAGAAACUAAAAAGAAACUGAGAUGAAACUAGGGGUACACUUAAGAGACACUUACAAGAAAAUGAGAAGAAACUAAAAAUAAACUUUGGAAAAACUUAGAAGAAACAAAGAACAACCUAAUAAAUAACUACUAAAACAUUUUAAAGAAACUCAGAAGACAUUUUAAUGAAACCUGGAAGAAACUAAAACGAAAGUUAGAUGAAACUACAGGGACCUAUAAAACAAAUAAAAAGAAACUUAGGAGAAACGUAGAAAAAAACUUAACAGUAAAUUAAUAGGAAACAAAAAGAACCUUCAAAAAGACUAAAAACAAACAAAGACAAAACUGCCAAACAAAUGAUAAGAAGAUUAAAAGAAACUUAGGAGCCACUUAGCAGCAACAUAGGAGAUACUGUACAUGUGGUAAAUGAGUAGAUUGUACCAAGACCACAUUGUUGUGUGUAAACAAUGCAGUGUAUUACUUCUAUAUUUCAUAUACUCUUUGUCUGUAUUACUGUCAACAAUGUUAGCAACUAAAAUGUCUUCAACAUG